rnacentral:rRNA from 1 species
ACACGGACCAAGGAGUGCAACAUGCGUGCGAGUCUUGGGGUGGCAAACCCAUCGGCGCAAUGAAGGUGAAGGCAGAUUUUGGUCUGCUCAGGCAGGAGCCUCCUCCCGGAGGCACACUGUCGACCGAUCCCAGGCUACGCUGUGGCGGGAUUUGAGUAAGAGCGUGCCUGUUGCGACCCGAAAGAUGGUGAACUAUGCCUGAAUAGGGUGAAGCCAGAGGAAACUCUGGUGGAAGCUCGUAGCGAUUCUGACGUGCAAAUCGAUCGUCAAAUUUGGGUAUAGGGGCGAAAGACUAAUCGAACCAUCUAGUAGCUGGUUCCCUCCGAAGUUUCCCUUAGGAUAGCUGGAGCCCGGUGCAGUUUUAUCAGGUAAAGCGAAUGAUUAGAGGUCUUGGGGUUGAAACAACCUCAACCUAUUCUCAAACUUUAAAUGGGUAAGAAGCUCGGCUUGCUCAAUUGAAGUCGGGCACUGAAUGCUGGGGCUCUUAGUGGGCCAUUUUUGGUAAGCAGAACUGGCGAUGUGGGAUGAACCAAAUGCCGGGUUAAGGUGCCCGAAUCGACGCUCAUCAGAUACCAUGAAAGGUGUUGGUUGAUCUAGACAGCAGGACGGUGGCCAUGGAAGUCGGAAUCCGCUAAGGAGUGUGUAACAACU